ACUAUAAACAGCACUGAGGAGAAACAAGCAAACAUGCAUUGGAUGUAAGAAAAGUGAUGGAAAGGACUACGUAAAAGGGCAAGGAAAAGCAGAACAAUCUAAAGUUUCCACCCAUUAGGACAGGGCUUGGUGAGGACAUUCUGGUGGUUAACUGUUUCACCACUGUCAAAUCUACUACAUCUCCAGGUAUUACAGGUUAAUUAUAUCUGUUUAAAGUAUGCACCUUGUUUCUAUUCUGAAUUUCUUUGUUUCUCAUUUUCAAGCCACGUAUCAUUGUAUCUUUUCUUGCAAAAUUAAAACAUUAACUAAUAUAAAAAACACCUUCAUGGGGUAGAUGCCUACAGUCACCAGUAAUUUAUAGCAGGAACAGCGACCACGAGGUGAAGCGCUUAUCCAUGUGAGGAAGCAGGAAUUCAUUAGUUUGACCAGAGCAUUAGUAUUUUUCAUAACCUACAAAAAGAUGGAUUUUUGCUCUGAAGUCUGAUACAUGCUUGUUUUAUCAAGCAACUCAAGAUCCAAAUGAGUGCUGACAUAUUUCUAUAAACUUAAUUAGAAUUCGUAUCUUCUACAGUCUCCCCUACAUUUAAAUUUCCAUCCCACACUUUAACACCUGCUUUCUGCUUUUCUUUUUCUUUCUUUUGCCCAUUAUUUUCAUAUUAAGAAGCAACAACCAGCCUAACAGAUCUGUCUGCAAUUUGACUGAUGUGUCUUUUUCUUCUAGAAAACAGCUCUUGCAAUUGCUGUGAAAGCAAAGCCUCCAGAAGGGAUGACUCAAUGCAGGAGAAGUCAAAAAGCUGGAGAAGAGGAGCAGGCUUCUGUUCUACAGCUCUCAGACUGGCCCAUAGGAAAAAUAAAACGCCCAGAUAAAAUCACAAGGUUGGUAUUUUGUCCACAGUAUUUACAAGACCAGAGUUCAUGCUACUAUUUUGCACUUUUUCUAGCUUUUUAUUAACAACUUUGUCUACCAAAGAAUUAUUCUCAUUAACUGUAAAGUACCUACCAAGACUAAAAAAAA
rnacentral:lncRNA from 1 species